rnacentral:pre_miRNA from 1 species
GAGUUUCACAUCGAACGAGUGUCUGUAGUUCGUAUAUCAACGGGUACCAGCCACUCGUUCAUUGUGAAACUC